CCUACGGGAGGCUGCAGUGGGGAAUAUUGCUCAAUGGGCGAAACCCUGAAGCAGCGACGCCGCGUGGAGGACGAAGGCCUUCGGGUUGUAAACUCCUUUUGUUAGGGAAGAUAAUGACGGUAUGUAACGCAUAAGCACUGGCCAACUCCGUGCCAGCAGGCGGGGUAAUACGGAGGGUGCAGGCGUUACUCGGAAUCAGUGGGCGUAAAGAGCGCGUAGGCGGGAUUGCAAGUCAGAUGUGAAAUCCUAGGGCUUAACCAUAGAACUGCAAUUGAUACUGUUAUUCUAGAGUAUGGGAGAGGUAGGCGGAAUUCUUGGUGUAGGGGUAAAAUGCGUAGAGAUCAAGAGGAAUACUGAUAGCGAAGGCGACCUGCUAGAACAUAACUGACGCUGAGGCGCGAAAGCGUGGGGAGCAAACAGGAUUAGAUACCCUAGUAGUC
rnacentral:rRNA from 1 species